rnacentral:rRNA from 1 species
ACUACAUGAAGCUGGAAUCGCUAGUAAUCGCGAAUCAGAAUGUCGCGGUGAAUACGUUCCCGGGUCUUGUACACACCGCCCGUCACACCAUGGGAGUUGGGAAUGCCCGAAGCCGGUGACCUAACCGAAAGGGAGGAGCCGUCGAAGGCAGGCUUGAUAACUGGGGUGAAGUCGUAACAAGGUAUC